UACGGAGGGGGCUAGCGUUGUUCGGAAUUACUGGGCGUAAAGCGCACGUAGGCGGCUUUGUAAGUUAGAGGUGAAAGCCCGGGGCUCAACUCCGGAAUUGCCUUUAAGACUGCAUCGCUAGAAUUGUGGAGAGGUAAGUGGAAUUCCGAGUGUAGAGGUGAAAUUCGUAGAUAUUCGGAAGAACACCAGUGGCGAAGGCGACACACUGGCCCGUAACUGACGCUGAGG
rnacentral:rRNA from 1 species